rnacentral:lncRNA from 1 species
CGGUGACCGUGUGAGCCUCAGAAUUAUCCCACCUCGCUUAACUUGGGAGGAGGAAGCCACUUUAAAAGGGAGAGCCACCCUUCCCCCAUUGGGCUAGUCUUUUGGGGCGAUUGGGCCUUUCCCUGAGUUGGGUGUGCUUAAUGAACUGUUGGGCUCCGGGCAACCCUAAUUUGUUGGGCCUCGGCCAACCCCACCUGGGCUGGGUGCAUCAUCUGGUAUCAGAGCUAGGGCCCAUUUUAAGAAGGUGGGAAUGAUGAGGACAUCCUCCACUAUUACCCGUUGGCAAAGACGCAAUUGGCCCAGUUGGCCCAAUUGUAGUCGGACGGUGACCGUGUGAGCCUCAGAAUUAUCCCACCUCGCUUAACUUGGGAGGAGGAAGCCACUUUAAAAGGGAGAGUCACCCUUCCCCCAUUGGGCUAGUCUUUUGGGGCGAUUGGGCCUUUCCCUGAGUUGGGUGUGCUUAAUGAACUGUUGGGCUUCGGGCAACCCUAAUUUGUUGGGCCUCGGCUGCCUUAAUAAGUACUAGAGAUAUAGGGAACGUAUCUGUUGCAAACCAACCCCUCUGUGCAACCGUGCAAACUUUUAAUAUGAACCACAUGAUGUUGAUCACACCUUUUCAAAUCCCCACUUCCACUUCUCCGUACGUCCCCUUGGAUCAACAUUAUGUGAUUCAGAUUAGAAGUUUGCACGGAGAGGUUGGUUUGCACCAGAUACAUUCCUAUAUAUAUUCUUCAUGAUUCUCUUCGGUGUACGUAAUAAGUAUCAUAAAAUUAAU